rnacentral:rRNA from 1 species
CGCCAGCUAAGGUCCCAAAGUCAUGGUUAAGUGGGAAACGAUGUGGGAAGGCCCAGACAGCCAGGAUGUUGGCUUAGAAGCAGCCAUCAUUUAAAGAAAGCGUAAUAGCUCACUGGUCGAGUCGGCCUGCGCGGAAGAUGUAACGGGGCUAAACCAUGCACCGAAGCUGCGGCAGCGACGCUGAUGCGUUGUUGGGUAGGGGAGCGUUCUGUAAGCCUGUGAAGGUGUGCUGUGAGGCAUGCUGGAGGUAUCAGAAGUGCGAAUGCUGACAUAAGUAACGAUAAAGCGGGUGAAAAGCCCGCUCGCCGGAAGACCAAGGGUUCCUGUCCAACGUUAAUCGGGGCAGGGUGAGUCGACCCCUAAGGCGAGGCCGAAAGGCGUAGUCGAUGGGAAACAGGUUAAUAUUCCUGUACUUGGUGUUACUGCGAAGGGGGGACGGAGAAGGCUAUGUUGGCCGGGCGACGGUUGUCCCGGUUUAAGCGUGUAGGCUGGUUUUCCAGGCAAAUCCGGAAAACUAAGGCUGAGGCGUGAUGACGAGGCACUACGGUGCUGAAGCAACAAAUGCCCUGCUUCCAGGAAAAGCCUCUAAGCAUCAGGUAACAUCAAAUCGUACCCCAAACCGACACAGGUGGUCAGGUAGAGAAUACCAAGGCGCUUGAGAGAACUCGGGUGAAGGAACUAGGCAAAAUGGUGCCGUAACUUCGGGAGAAGGCACGCUGAUAUGUAGGUGAAGUCCCUCGCGGAUGGAGCUGAAAUCAGUCGAAGAUACCAGCUGGCUGCAACUGUUUAUUAAAAACACAGCACUGUGCAAACACGAAAGUGGACGUAUACGGUGUGACGCCUGCCCGGUGCCGGAAGGUUAAUUGAUGGGGUCAGCGCAAGCGAAGCUCUUGAUCGAAGCCCCGGUAAACGGCGGCCGUAACUAUAACGGUCCUAAGGUAGCGAAAUUCCUUGUCGGGUAAGUUCCGACCUGCACGAAUGGCGUAAUGAUGGCCAGGCUGUCUCCACCCGAGACUCAGUGAAAUUGAACUCGCUGUGAAGAUGCAGUGUACCCGCGGCAAGACGGAAAGACCCCGUGAACCUUUACUAUAGCUUGACACUGAACAUUGAGCCUUGAUGUGUAGGAUAGGUGGGAGGCUUUGAAGUGUGGACGCCAGUCUGCAUGGAGCCGACCUUGAAAUACCACCCUUUAAUGUUUGAUGUUCUAACGUUGACCCGUAAUCCGGGUUGCGGACAGUGUCUGGUGGGUAGUUUGACUGGGGCGGUCUCCUCCUAAAGAGUAACGGAGGAGCACGAAGGUUGGCUAAUCCUGGUCGGACAUCAGGAGGUUAGUGCAAUGGCAUAAGCCAGCUUGACUGCGAGCGUGACGGCGCGAGCAGGUGCGAAAGCAGGUCAUAGUGAUCCGGUGGUUCUGAAUGGAAGGGCCAUCGCUCAACGGAUAAAAGGUACUCCGGGGAUAACAGGCUGAUACCGCCCAAGAGUUCAUAUCGACGGCGGUGUUUGGCACCUCGAUGUCGGCUCAUCACAUCCUGGGGCUGAAGUAGGUCCCAAGGGUAUGGCUGUUCGCCAUUUAAAGUGGUACGCGAGCUGGGUUUAGAACGUCGUGAGACAGUUCGGUCCCUAUCUGCCGUGGGCGCUGGAGAACUGAGGGGGGCUGCUCCUAGUACGAGAGGACCGGAGUGGACGCAUCACUGGUGUUCGGGUUGUCAUGCCAAUGGCACUGCCCGGUAGCUAAAUGCGGAAGAGAUAAGUGCUGAAAGCAUCUAAGCACGAAACUUGCCCCGAGAUGAGUUCUCCCUGACUCCUUGAGAGUCCUGAAGGAACGUUGAAG